AGUGAACGCUGGCGGUAGGCCUAACACAUGCAAGUCGAACGGCAGCACAGUAAGAGCUUGCUCUUACGGGUGGCGAGUGGCGGACGGGUGAGGAAUACAUCGGAAUCUACUUUUUCGUGGGGGAUAACGUAGGGAAACUUACGCUAAUACCGCAUACGACCUACGGGUGAAAGCAGGGGAUCUUCGGACCUUGCGCGAUUGAAUGAGCCGAUGUCGGAUUAGCUAGUUGGCGGGGUAAAGGCGCACCAAGGCGACGAUCCGUAGCUGGUCUGAGAGGAUGAUCAGCCACACUGGAACUGAGACACGGUCCAGACUCCUACGGGAGGCAGCAGUGGGGAAUAUUGGACAAUGGGCGCAAGCCUGAUCCAGCCAUACCGCGUGGGUGAAGAAGGCCUUCGGGUUGUAAAGCCCUUUUGUUGGGAAAGAAAAGCAGCAGGUGAAUACCCCGCUGUUCUGACGGUACCCAAAGAAUAAGCACCGGCUAACUUCGUG
rnacentral:rRNA from 1 species